UUGGAUGAGUGGCGAACGGGUGAGUAACACGUGAGUAACCUGCCCCUUCUUUGGGAUAACGCCCGGAAACGGGUGCUAAUACUGGAUAUUCACUGAUCUUCGCAUGGGGGUUGGUGGAAAGGUUUUUUCUGGUGGGGGAUGGGCUCGCGGCCUAUCAGCUUGUUGGUGGGGUGAUGGCCUACCAAGGCUUUGACGGGUAGCCGGCCUGAGAGGGUGACCGGUCACAUUGGGACUGAGAUACGGCCCAG
rnacentral:rRNA from 1 species